GACGAACGCUGGCGGCGUGCCUAAUACAUGCAAGUAGAACGCACAGUUUAUACCGUAGCUUGCUCCACCAUAGACUGUGAGUUGCGAACGGGUGAGUAACGCGUAGGUAACCUGCCUGGUAGCGGGGGAUAACUAUUGGAAACGAUAGCUAAUACCGCAUAAUAUUGAUUAUUGCAUGAUAAUUGAUUGAAAGAUGCUAUUGCAUCACUACCAGAUGGACCUGCGUUGUAUUAGCUAGUAGGUGAGGUAACGGCUCACCUAGGCGACGAUACAUAGCCGACCUGAGAGGGUGAUCGGCCACACUGGGACUGAGACACGGCCCAGACUCCUACGGGAGGCAGCAGUAGGGAAUCUUCGGCAAUGGACGAAAGUCUGACCGAGCAACGCCGCGUGAGUGAAGAAGGUUGUCGGAUCGUAAAGCUCUGUUGUAAGAGAAGAACGGGUGUGAGAGUGGAAAGUUCACACUGUGACGGUAUCUUACCAGAAAGGGACGGCUAACUACGUG
rnacentral:rRNA from 1 species